rnacentral:rRNA from 1 species
GAUGAACGCUGGCGGCGUGCCUAAUACAUGCAAGUCGAGCGAACGGACGAGAAGCUUGCUUCUAUGAUGUUAGCGGCGGCCGGGUGAGUAACACGUAGAUAACCUACCUAUAAGACUGGGAUAACUUCGGGAAACCGGAGCUAAUACCAGUUAAUAUUUUGAACCGCAAGGUUCAAAAGUGAAAGACGGUCUUGCUGUCACUUAUAGAUGGAUCCGCGCUGCAUUAGCUAGUUGGUAAGGUAACGGCUUACCAAGGCAACGAUGCAUAGACGACCGGAGAGGGUGAUCGGCGGCUCUGGAACUCAGCCACCGCCCAUACUCCUACGGGAGGCAGCAGUAUGCAAUCUUCCGCAAUGGGCGAAAGCCUUACGGAGCAACGCCGCGUGAGUUAUGGAGGUCUUCGGAUCGUAAUACUCUCUUAUUAGGUAUGAACAUAUUUGUAAGGAACUGUGCACAUCUUGACGGUACCUAAUCAGAAAGCCACGGCUAACUACGUG